rnacentral:misc_RNA from 1 species
GUGAAUCAUCAAAUUUUUGAACGCAAAUUGCACUCUCUUCGGAGAGUAUGCCUGUUUGAGGGUCAGCCUAAAAAAAAUCGUACAUCUUUGAUGUUGCGGAUCUGAGUAUUCCGAUUUUAUUAAUCGGUUACCUAAAAUUAUUUAUAUGUAAUGUGAAGCGUACUAAUUAUAGUCGCUAAUCAUUAUACUUAUUACAUUACAACCAAGUAUUUAGGUGGUGGUGUAUAAAUUAUGAGAAUGACCUCAAGUCAUGUGAGAGUACCCGCUGAACUUAAGCAUAUCAAUAAGCGGAGGA